UACGUAGGUGGCAAGCGUUAUCCGGAAUUACUGGGCGUAAAGCGCACGCAGGUGGUUGGAUAAGAUUGACGUGAAAGCUUCUGGCUUAACUGGAAGAGGUCGUUGAUGACUGUCCGACUUGAGACGAGGGGAGGGGUGCAGAAUUCCCGGUGUAGUGGUGGAAUGCGUAGAUAUCGGGAGGAAUACCAGUGGCGAAAGCGGCACCCUGGCCUUAGUCUGACGAUCAGGUGCGAAAGAGUGGGGAGCAAACGGG
rnacentral:rRNA from 1 species